rnacentral:tRNA from 1 species
UCUAAUAUGGCAGAAUAGUGCAAUAAUUUUAAGCAUUAUAUAUAAAGGAUAUUAUCCUUUUAUUAGAA